AAGGACCAUCGUUUGAUGCACAAUGAAGCUCCUUUCACAUGUCCUUUUGCUGGUUCUAAUGUUAGCUUCACAGAAAUGUCAGGAAUCAGAAGAUUUUAUUGAAUACAGUGACUACUACACUGGGGAGUAUGAAAGUCCAGAUGUUCCAGAGCCCAACAUCACAGUGUACCAACAGAUGGAGGAUGGAGAGAAAGUGGUCGUACUGUGCGAGUUUACCCAAAUGUUUAAAUGGAGAUUCAGAAUUCAGUCAUAUGAGUUGUUUGUAGAGAGCGAACUGAACUACACCAUAGAACUACUGAAAUGCUCUUCUUUAGAUUCUUCAGAAAUAUGUGUGUUUCUGGUCACAGUGAGUCCACCUGCUUCAUUCACCUGUGUGGAUGAGUUUAAUUCUGGUUUAGAUGUCAGGAA